rnacentral:rRNA from 1 species
UACGAAGGGGGCGAGCGUUGUUCGGAAUUACUGGGCGUAAAGGGCUCGUAGGUGGCCAACUAAGUCGGACGUGAAAUCCCUCGGCUUAACUGGGGAACUGCAUCCGAUACUGGAUGGCUUGAGUUCGGGAGAGGGAUGCGGAAUUCCAGGUGUAGCGGUGAAAUGCGUAGAUAUCUGGAGGAACACCGGUGGCGAAGGCGGCAUCCUGGACCGACACUGACGCUGAGGAGCGAAAGCCAGGGGAGCCAAACGGG